rnacentral:rRNA from 1 species
UACGUAGGGUGCGAGCGUUAAUCGGAAUUACUGGGCGUAAAGCGUGCGCAGGUGGCCGCGCAAGUCGAGUGUGAAAUCCCCGAGCUUAACUUGGGAAUUGCGCUCGAAACUACGUGGCUCGAGUGUGGCAGAGGAAGGUGGAAUUCCACGUGUAGCGGUGAAAUGCGUAGAGAUGUGGAGGAACACCGAUGGCGAAGGCAGCCUUCUGGGCCAACACUGACGCUCCUGCACGAAAGCGUGGGGAGCAAACAGG